CAGGGACAUGUUGUCUUAACAGAUUUUGGGCUUUGUAAAGAAGGAAUUGCUAUUUCUGAUACCACAACGACAUUUUGUGGAACACCAGAGUACCUAGCACCUGAAGUGAUCAGAAAACAGCCCUAUGACAAUACUGUAGAUUGGUGGUGCCUUGGUGCUGUACUUUAUGAAAUGCUGUAUGGGUUGCCUCCUUUUUAUUGCCGAGAUGUUGCUGAAAUGUAUGACAACAUUCUGCACAAGCCCCUAAAUCUGAGGCCAGGAGUGAGCCUCACAGCCUGGUCCAUUCUGGAAGAACUCCUAGAAAAAGACAGGCAAAAUCGGCUCGGUGCCAAAGAAGACUUUGUAUGUAUAUCUCUCCCACUCUGUUUAAGCUUAUUUAUCCUUUGAAGAUAAAGCCUUAUUUUAUGUGGUAUUUGAUGGGAUGAAUACAGCUCUUAAAGAAGAGCACCAUGAAAACGCGUAACUUGUCCCAACAACUUUCACCAGUGUUUAUACGUACAGAACUAUACAGGGUUUGAGCACUUGCAUCCUUUCAGUUGAUCUCUGUAACAGUACCAUCCUCUCCUCUUCGUCUGUCACAUCCAGCUUUCACACUCUUAUUAUUUAUUUGAUUUUUAUUUAUUAAAAUUUUUCUCCUCGCCCUUCUUUUUUAAAAAUUUUUGAUUACCUGAACUUUUAGAUCAUGUUAUUUAACAAGAAUCUAAGUCCUUCCUGACCACAUGAGGCGGUGCAAUUUAUCUUGAACCAACAUGAAAUCACUUUUUUCCCCCUGAGAAUUUGGUGAUAACCUCCUUGAGAUAGUUAUGGAGUCUGUGGGUUUGGUUUUUGUUUUGUUUUUUUAAGCAGGGUAAUUAGAUUGCUAGUGUAACUUAUCUUAGUGUGUCAGUAUUCAGGAACUGUUGAGCAAUAAGAACUUUUAAGUUCAUUUAAAUUUCUCAGAAAUUCUUUGGGGCUGUUGACCAGUUUGAACGUGAGCUGUGAAUAACAAACUUGUCUGCUACUGACCUUCUCCUCCUACACGUCCCAGUUCGGCAGAUGGCUCUGUCAACAGUUCUCUAUCCAGCUUUGAUUCCCGUCUGUUGUUUCAGUCAGUCUUGCUAAUACUUCACACCUCCGUGCCCCGUGGUCCUUUUAUUGAAUUCAGAAAUCGCAACCUGGAUGAAUUCAACGGUCAUCUCUGGGCUGCUGUUUGUUGGUGGAGAAAGUUUCACAACUGGGCUAAACUUCCAAUAUGUGUAUGUGUGUGUGUGUGUAUCUACUACACUAACAAGAAAUCUUUGGACACCAGUAAGGUGACACAGUUUUUAAGUAAGUGUUUAUAAUGAGAUGUUUAUAGCCACUCACGAGGCCUUUUUGGUCUUCUGGGGUGGAGACGUGGAGGAGGAGAUGUCUGUGAUUC